rnacentral:lncRNA from 1 species
UUUCAAGUAGCACAGAACCCAGUGGCUGGAUAGGUUUGACUACUACCUGCAUUAUAAUCAGAGAAUCAGAAAAAUGAAAUUUACUUUAACACUAUUUUAUUUGAAGGCAAAAUUUAAGCUCAACCAAACCCCAAUGUCUGAAAUGUCUUAAACUAUCUUAUAUGGACUAAUUACUAGAAUGAUCUUAAGUAAGACACUUUUCACUCUUCAUGCCUCAGUUUUCAUGCUUUAAAAUGAUGAUUUUGGUCUGUGAAGCUCUAAGAAACUUUCCAGUUCUGCACAUUGGUAAUUCCAAGUGAGAUUUCCUUCAGCUAGCUUGCCUUUUAAAUGCUACAUUUUAUUUGCUUUCUGAUUUCCUUUUAUUCAUUGAAUAAAAAAGAGUUUAUGAAUCAUCUUUUCUUACCUAUUUGAUAUUGGAGAACUAUGGGCACUUGGAAUCAGUUUCAAAUUUAACUUAUAUUUACCUUUUUCUUUUACUCCAUUAGGGAUAUGUGCACGUAAAUCCAUCUUCCAUCUAUGCUCUGCUGACUCAUUCGGAAAAAUCAGAAGUGAGAUGGUCGUUCUUCUCUGUUAAUAAUUACACAGGGACCUAAUAUAAAUAGAAGAAAUUUCAUGGAGAUCUUCCCAUCUAAUACAUGAAUUAUGCAAAACCAGUUCUCAUUUUUACUUUCUUCAUUGACAAAAUGGUGAAGUACAACAUAGGAAAGAGGUAUGUGGUAAUCCCAGGGUUUAACUCUUAUUUUGACAUUCCAUGGUUUUUAGGAGCUCAGAUGAAUAAGUUGAGAUUCAGACAUCUCUGCCAGUCUCAGACUUUGCUACAGCAGCAUGGUAUUCUAAAUCUUUGGAUACUUCCAC